CACGUAGGGACCAAGCGUUGUCCGGAUUCAUUGGGCGUAAAGAGCUCGUAGGCGGUUCGAUAAGUCGGGUGUGAAACCUCCAGGCUCAACCUGGAGACGCCACCCGAUACUGUCGUGACUAGAGUCCAGUAGGGGAGCGUGGAAUUCCUGGUGUAGCGGUGAAAUGCGUAGAUAUCAGGAGGAACACCGGUGGCGAAGGCGGCUCUCUGGGUCGGCCCUGACGCUGAGGCGCGAAAGCGUGGGGAGCGAACGGG
rnacentral:rRNA from 1 species